rnacentral:rRNA from 1 species
GACGAACGCUGGCGGCGUGCCUAAUACAUGCAAGUAGAACGCUGAAGGAGGAGCUUGCUUCUCUGGAUGAGUUGCGAACGGGUGAGUAACGCGUAGGUAACCUGCCUGGUAGCGGGGGAUAACUAUUGGAAACGAUAGCUAAUACCGCAUAAUAGCAGUUGUUGCAUGACAACUGUUUGAAAGGUGCAAUUGCACCACUACCAGAUGGACCUGCGUUGUAUUAGCUAGUUGGUGGGGUAACGGCUCACCAAGGCGACGAUACAUAGCCGACCUGAGAGGGUGGUCGGCCACACUGGGACUGAGACACGGCCCAGACUCCUACGGGAGGCAGCAGGAGGGAAUCUUCGGAAAUGGACGGAAGUCUGACCGAGCAACGCCGCGUGAGUGAAGAAGGUUUUCGGAGCGUAAAGCUCUGUUGUAAGAGAAGAACGAGUGUGAGAGUGGAAAGUUCACACUGUGACGGUAUCUUAACAGAAAGGGACGGCUAACUACGUG